UAGUGAUGUUAUGGAAUAUGAUGACAUUAUGACUGGUGGGAGUCUGUCCUCUGGAACCCCUGCUGUUCAUGAGAAUGUCAGCUAAUUCCCUGCACAGUGAUGUUCACGGCCAGUUAUCAGGUCUAUAAUCAUCAAUGGAAGACCCAGGAUAUUUCUAGCUGUAUUACCCUUAGAGGUGGUAGUGAAAGGGGAACUCGGAUGUCAAGCCUUAAUGAUCUGCUUAUAACCGGAUGACCCUGCUAAUAUAAAUAACAUCUGCGAAAAGUGCUAAAAACCCAAACUGGAAA